rnacentral:rRNA from 1 species
AUGGAAGCGGCUCCAGUGGGGCCGACCGCCGCCAUGGACGUGGACAAGCUCACCUACGAGAUCUUCUCCAUCCUCGAGAGCAAGUUCCUGUUCGGCUACGACGACCCCAAGCUUCUCUUCGGCGGAGCCUCGCCGCAUACACCGGCAGCGUCUGGGAAGGCGACGCCCCCACGGGCGCAGGCCGGUAAAGUGUGCAUACUGUCGAUCGACGGCGGUGGGCGCGCCGCCGACGGGCUGCUCGCCGGAGCGGCGCUGGUGAGGCUGGAGGCUUCCCUGAGGCGGCGCACCGGUGACCCCAAGGCGCGUCUGGCAGACUUCUUCGACGUGGCCGCGGGCUCUGGCGCCGGCGGCGUGCUGGCGGCCAUGCUCGUGGCCCGCGGCAAGGACGACGCGCGGCCGCUCUACUCCGCGGAGGACGCGCUCGCGUUCCUCGUGCGCAGCCUCCGCCGCGGCUGGUCGCCCUCGUCCGGGAGCCUCCGCGCGCUGCUCCGGCGCCCGGCUGGCGGCGCCGGCUUCCGCAAGGUGUUCGGCGACCUGACACUGCGAGACACGGCGCGGCCGGUGCUCGUCCCGUGCUACGACCUCGCCACGGGGGCGCCGUUCCUUUUCUCCCGCGCCGACGCCGUCGAGAAGCCGGCCUACGACUUCCGCCUGCGAGACGUGUGCGCCGCGACCUGCGCCGGUUCGGACCGGUCCUCCUCGGCGGUGGAGGUGCGGUCGUGCGACGGGUCGACCCGCAUCGUGGCCGUGGGCGGCGGCGUGGCGCUCGGCAACCCCACGGCAGCGGCCAUCACGCACGUGCUCAACAACAAGCGCGAGUUCCCGCUCGCGUCCGGCGUGGAGGACCUGCUGGUGAUCUCCAUCGGCAGCGGCGAGGGCGAGCAGCGCCCCGCGGCCGGCAGCGGCGGCGCGUCGACGUCCGAGAUCGUCAGGAUCGCCGCCGAGGGCGUGUCCGACAUGGUGGACCAAGCGGUGGCCAUGGCGUUCGGACAUAACAUGACAAGCAACUACACCCGCAUCCAGGCGAUGGGGUCGCCGCGGGGCGGCCGAUGCGCGGCGGCGGCGGCGAAGGGGUGCGUGGCGGCGGAGGAGAUGCUGUCGCAGAAGAACGUGGAGUCGGUGCUGUUCCGUGGCAAGAAGCUGGCGGAGCAGACCAACGCGGAGAAGCUGGAGCGGUUCGCGCACGAGCUCGUCAAGGAGCACGACCGCCGGGUCGGCGCCGCCGCCCCCGCCGUCGUCAAGCAGCAGCCGGCGUCCGCGCCCGACAACGCCGCGCCGGCGUCGUACUCGAACCUGGUCAGCCAGAUGUUCACCAGCAUCUUGUAG